UUGCCUUGCAAUGAAAUUUCCUCUGUAUUUCAGCAUCAAGAGGUGGGGUUCCAGCAUAUGAUUUUUUUGUGUUCCCUUCCAAAUCAUUUUGGCCUCUUCUCUGCCUUUGCCUUGCAAUGAAAUUUCCUCUGUAUUUCAGCAUCAAGAGGUGGGGUUCCAGCAUAUGAUUUUUUUGUGUUCCCUUCCAAAUCAUUUUGGCCUCUUCUCUGCUGACUGACUGACUGACUGACCCGACUCUAUCGAUCUUCUGGCAUGUAUAAUGAAAUGGUCAAAUUGGAAUCUCUUUCUCCCUCUCACGCUCGCAUAAACAACACUGCUUGCGCGUGGACACGCCCCAAAAUCGACUAUAAAUAAGCAUAGAUCGAUAAGAGAAGGUAAAGCCCACACAUUUACUGAUCAUCUAUCUCCAAAUUAUGAGGGCCUUCUUUGUAGUAUGCCUUCUUUUGGCUUCCAUGAUCCUUCUUCCUUCCCCGACGAAAGCUCGAGAAUUAUCUCAAACUGUUGAUAAACCCGCUGUUCCCAACUGCGGCCGUGGAAAAGCAUAUGCGUCUUGCCUGCCAAAUAGGCCAAAGCCGGGAGAGAAAUGCAAUCCUAACAGCAAUAGGGGUUGCUAGGUGCAGCCCUUUGAAAAAGAAAUAUCUGGUUUCAAUAAUGAAGGUGUACGUUGCUUAAUUAAUAUAUAUGUGAACACACGCCUUCGCCUUCGGGAAUUUAGCGACGGCUUUUGCUGUUAUGUUAAUUGUAUGUAUUUUUCCUUUCCAUGCUGUACGUACGGUAGAACUAUAUAUCUACGUGCUUCGAUGUCAUAUUUGCACAAUAAAAGUGAGCCCACGAAAACUCAGUGUAUUUGCUUAUGCA